AAUGAGAGGACAGUGAUUGGCUGUGGGGCAGAUUUUCUUGACCCUAGUGUAAGUAACGGUGUUCCUGUAACCCAGGCACGUAAAACGAGAUUUUAUACAUUUCAGGGCCUAAUUAGGUAGUAUAAAGACUGCAGACUGUUUACACUUUUUGCAUUUUCUAUUGGCAUCAUGAUAGCUUCUGUGCAUCAAUGCGGUGACAGUAAAGUUCUUGUUAGCUUAACA